rnacentral:rRNA from 1 species
UACGUAGGGUGCAAGCGUUGUCCGGAAUUAUUGGGCGUAAAGAGCUCGUAGGCGGUUUGUCGCGUCUGCUGUGAAAACCCGAGACUCAACCUCGGGCCUGCAGUGGGUACGGGCAGACUAGAGUGCGGUAGGGGAGAUUGGAAUUCCUGGUGUAGCGGUGGAAUGCGCAGAUAUCAGGAGGAACACCGGUGGCGAAGGCGGGUCUCUGGGCCGGUACCGACGCUGAGGAGCGAAAGCGUGGGGAGCGAACAGG